GGGUGGGAUCAUACCAGCACUAAUGCACCGGA
rnacentral:rRNA from 1 species